GCUCUCGUGGUGUAACGGAUAGCACAACAGCCUUCGAAGCUGUUUGUGGGGGUUCGAGUCCCUCCGAGAGCA
rnacentral:tRNA from 1 species